rnacentral:rRNA from 1 species
UUCCGUUGAUCCUGCGGAAGGUUGCUGCUUUAAGGGUUCGACUAAGCCAUGCAAGUCUGGGGGAGCAAUCCACCGGCGAAAUGCUCAGUAACACGUCAAUAAUCUGCCCUUAGGUCAUGGAUAACCUUGGAAAACUGAGGCUAAUACUUGAUAAGAGAAUCACCUUGGAAAAGGAAUUCUCUGAAAUUCGUGCCUAAGGAUGAGUUGGCGGUCGAUUAGGUUGUUGGUGGUGUAAAGGACCACCAAGCCGAAGAUCGGUAGGGGCCUUGAAAGAGGGAGCCCCGAGAAGGGCACUGAGAAACUGGCCCUAGCCCUACGGGGUGCAGCAGGCGCGAAACCUUUACAAUGCACGAAAGUGUGAUAAGGGAACCCUUAGUGCUUUGCUUAUGCAAGGCUUUUGCCAAGUGUAAAUAUCUUGGAGAAUAAGUGGUGGGUAAGACGGGUGCCAGCCGCCGCGGUAACACCUGCGCCACAAGUGGCAACCACUUUUAUUGGGCCUAAAGCGUCCGUAGCCUGUCUAGUAAAUUCUUUGUGAAAUCGUUGUGCUUAACAUAACGUCGUGCAGAGAAGACUGCUAGACUUGAAACCGGGAGGAGUCAGAGGUAUUUUUGGGGGAGCGGUAAAAUGCUAUAAUCCCAAAAGGACCACCUGUGGCGAAGGCGUCUGACUAGAACGGAUUUGACGGUGAGGGACGAAAGCCAGGGGAGCGAUCCGGAUUAGAUACCCGAGUAGUCCUGGCUGUAAACUCUGCGAGCUAGGUGUUGCAUAAUCCUAGAGGUUGUGCAGUGUCGAAGCGAAGGCGAUAAGCUCGCCGCCUGGGAAGUAUGGUCGCAAGACUGAAACUUAAAGGAAUUGGCGGGGGAGCACUACAAGGGGUGCGGCGUGCGGUUUAAUCUAACUCAACGCAGAGAAUCUCACCAGAAGCGACGGCAGGAUGAUAGUCAGAUUAAAGGUUUUACUUGACGAGCCGAGAGGUAGUGCAUGGCCGCCGUCAGCUCGUGCCGUAAGGUGUCCUGUUAAGUCAGGCAACGAGCGAGACCUGUACCCACAAUUGCUAACAAGCUCUGUAAUUGAGCACAUUGUGGGGACUGCCUUGGAAACAAGGAGGAAGGUGCAGGCAACGGUAGGUCUGUAUGCUCCGAAUCUUCUGGGCAACACGCGCGCAACAAUGGUACGGACAAUGGGUCACAACUCCGAAAGGAGAAGUUAAUCCUCGAAACCGUAUCUCAGUUCAGAUUGAGGAUUGUAACUCAUUCUCAUGACGUCGGAAUCCCUAGUAAUCGGGUGUCAACAUCGCCCGGUGAAUACGUCCCUGCUCCUUGCACACACCGCCCGUCAAAAACCACCCGAGUAGGGUCUAGAUGAGGUCAUAUUUAGAAUAUGCUCGAAUCUAGGCUCUGUGAGGAGGGUUAAGUCGUCACAAGGUA